rnacentral:rRNA from 1 species
UACGUAGGGUGCGAGCGUUAAUCGGAAUUACUGGGCGUAAAGCGUGCGCAGGCGGUGAUGUAAGACAGAUGUGAAAUCCCCGGGCUCAACCUGGGAACUGCGUUUGUGACUGCAUCGCUGGAGUACGGCAGAGGGGGAUGGGAUUCCGCGUGUAGCAGUGAAAUGCGUGGAUAUGCGGAGGAACACCGAUGGCGAAGGCAAUCCCCUGGGCCUGUACUGACGCUCAUGCACGAAAGCGUGGGGAGCAAACAGG